GAUGAACGCUGGCGGCGUGCCUAAUACAUGCAAGUCGAGCGAACAGACGAGGAGCUUGCUCCUCUGACGUUGGCGGCGGACGGGUGAGUAACACGUGGAUAACCUACCUAUAAGACUGGGAUAACUUCGGGAAACCGGAGCUAAUACCGGAUAAUAUAUUGAACCGCAUGGUUCAAUAGUGAAAGACGGUUUUGCUGUCACUUAUAGAUGGAUCCGCGCCGCAGUAGCUAGUUGGUAAGGUAACGGCUUACCAAGGCGACGAUGCGUAGCCGACCUGAGAGGGUGAUCGGCCACACUGGAACUGAGACACGGUCCAGACUCCUACGGGAGGCAGCAGUAGGGAAUCUUCCGCAAUGGGCGAAAGCCUGACGGAGCAACGCCGCGUGAGUGAUGAAGGUCUUCGGAUCGUAAAACUCUGUUAUUAGGGAAGAACAAAUGUGUAAGUAACUAUGCACGUCUUGACGGUACCUAAUCAGAAAGCCACGGCUAACUACGUG
rnacentral:rRNA from 1 species